GGGAGCCGUGUGAAGCGACAGUUUCACGCACGGUUCUGAGAGCGCGGAGGGUGAAGUCCCUCCGCGACUCGCC
rfam:Rhizobium lusitanum strain P1-7 genome assembly, contig: Ga0061101_163